rnacentral:rRNA from 1 species
CCCAGACUCCUACGGGAGGCAGCAGUGGGGAAUAUUGCACAAUGGGGGAAACCCUGAUGCAGCGACGCCGCGUGAGUGAAGAAGUAAUUCGUUAUGUAAAGCUCUAUCAGCAGGGAAGAAAAUGACGGUACCUGACCAAGAAGCCCCGGCUAACUACGUGCCAGCAGCCGCGGUAAUACGUAGGGGGCAAGCGUUAUCCGGAUUUACUGGGUGUAAAGGGAGCGUAGACGGCUGUGCAAGUCAGAAGUGAAAGCCCGGGGCUCAACCCCGGGACUGCUUUUGAAACUGCGUGGCUGGAGUGCAGGAGAGGUAAGCGGAAUUCCUGGUGUAGCGGUGAAAUGCGUAGAUAUCAGGAGGAACACCAGUGGCGAAGGCGGCUUACUGGACUGUAACUGACGUUGAGGCUCGAAAGCGUGGGGAGCAAACAGGAUUAGAUACCCCUGUA